rnacentral:rRNA from 1 species
UAAUAAUAUUUUAUUAAUUAAUUAAUUUAUUAUGAUUUAUAAUAAAAAUAAUUUUAAUUUAUUAUUUUUAAAGUAUAUUUUAUAAAAAAAAUAAUUUUAAUUAUAGUUUAAAGUAUUGUGAAAGAAAAAUAUUUCUAUUAAAAAAGUAAAUUUAAUUUAUUGUACCUUUUGUAUCAGGGUUUAUUUAUUAAUUUUUAAUUAUAUUUAAAUUUCUCGAAUUUAAAAGAGUUAAAUUAAUAUAAAAGUUAUUGUUUUAUAAUUAUUUUUAAUAUUAAUUUAGUAAUGAAAUGUUAAACGUUUUUAAAUAUAUCUAGUUUUUUAAGAAUUAAAUUUAAUUUAGUAUAUUUUAAUAAAUUAAUUUUUUUAUAAAAAUUAAUUUUUAAAUUAUAAAAAUUAAUUAGGGAUUAGCUUAAUUAAUUUUAUUAUAAAUUUAAGUUAAUUAUAAAUAUAAUAGGAAUAAAAAUUUUCAUUUAUAAAUAAAGUGUUAUAAUUAAUUUAUUAUAAAUUUAAUUUAUUUAAUUUUAAAUUUUUUAUUAAAAUAAUAAAUUUAAUUACAAAUUUAUGUAAUAAUGAUAAAAUUAGUAUUAAUUUAUUUACAAGUAAAAAUUUUAUUUAGAUUAAAAUAAGGAAUUCAGCAAAUAUAAUACUCACCUGUUUAACAAAAACAUGUCUUUUAGAAAAUAAUUUAAAGUCUAACCUGCCCACUGAAUAAUUUUAAAGGGCCGCGGUAUAUUGACUGUGCAAAGGUAGCAUAAUCAUUUGUCUUUUAAUUGAAGGCUAGAAUGAAUGGUUGAAUGAAGUAUUAACUGUCUCAUUUUAAUAAGUUAAAAAUUUAAUUUUUUAGUUAAAAAGCUAAAAUAUUUUUAAAGGACGAGAAGACCCUAUAGAUCUUUAUAAUUAAAAUUUAAUUAAAUUUUAGUUAAAAAUAUUUUAUUUAAAUUAUAAUUAUUUUAUUGGGGUGAUAGAUAAAUUUAAAUAACUUUUUUUAUAUUUUAAACAUUGAUAUAUGAAUUAUUGAUCCUUUUUUAAAGAUUAAAAAUUUAAGUUACCUUAGGGAUAACAGCGUAAUUUUUUUAGAGAGUUCAUAUCGAUAAAAAAGAUUGCGACCUCGAUGUUGAAUUAAAGGUUAUUUUUAAAUGCAGAAGUUUAAAGUUUAAGUCUGUUCGACUUUUGAAUCUUUACAUGAUUUGAGUUCAAACCGGCGUGAGCCAGGUUGGUUUCUAUCCUUAAAUAAAAUUUAUAUUUUAGUACGAAAGGACCAAAUAUAUAAAAUAUUUUUUUAAGAAUAAUGAAUAUUAUUAAAUUUA